GGAUUCUGCUGUGUUCUGGGCAGGGGUGGGCAGCAAUGUGCACGUGCGAGGGAGGGGCUAAAGCCAAUAGUGAGGUGGUUCUUUUUCUUAACUGAAUGAUAAUUCUGUAAAAGUAAUUGGGGGGAGGGUGUUCAGGGAGUAUGUGUGUGUGUGUGUGCAGCGAGAGAGCAUGUGUGAUUUUGUUUUUUUGUUUUUUUGUUUUUUUACAGUGGCUGUCAAGUAUUUUCAUGAUAUGUUUAACACGUAGUGCUUUAAAAGCAGUGGUACCCAAUAAGCUGGGAAUCCAAGUUCCAGAGAUGGGACGUGCCCACCUCAGUGAGCAAAGGUCCCACUCUGGAGGCAGGGAUAAGAAAGGCCUGCGGACCCACACACCAAGCAGCAACACCUGGGCGUUCAUUUCAAAUGGGAUACAGUAUUUUUUUAUAACAGAACCAUCCUUUUUUAAAAAAAAAAAAGUUUUGACACCUGAAUGUGAUUUCUAACUAUUAUUAGACGUUAAUGUUUUAAAGCUAUAACAAAGUGGAAAUUUCUACUUUUCUUUUUUCAUUCAUUUGAACUGUUCUUUUAUCUAUUUGGUUGUUGUAUGUGGGCGGGGAAGCUCUGUUUUCUCCUCUUAGCAUUUGUUUCUAUAACCAGAAAUAAAAUUAUAUAUUAAAG
rnacentral:lncRNA from 1 species